rnacentral:rRNA from 1 species
AACGAACGCUGGCGGCAGGCUUAACACAUGCAAGUCGAGCGCCCCGCAAGGGGAGCGGCAGACGGGUGAGUAACGCGUGGGAAUCUACCCAUCUCUACGGAAUAACGCAUGGAAACGUGUGCUAAUACCGUAUACGUCCUUCGGGAGAAAGAUUUAUCGGAGAUGGAUGAGCCCGCGUUGGAUUAGCUAGUUGGUGGGGUAAAGGCCUACCAAGGCGACGAUCCAUAGCUGGUCUGAGAGGAUGAUCAGCCACACUGGGACUGAGACACGGCCCAGACUCCUACGGGAGGCAGCAGUGGGGGAUACUGGACAAUGGGCGCAAGCCUGAUCCAGCCAUGCCGCGUGAGUGAUGAAGGCCCUAGGGUUGUAAAGCUCUUUCACCGGUGAAGAUAAUGACGGUAACCGGAGAAGAAGCCCCGGCUAACUUCGUGCCAGCCGCCGCCGUAAUAC